rnacentral:tRNA from 1 species
CAAGACGUAGCUUUAACGAAAGCAUUCAGCUUACACCUGAAAGAUAUCUGCUAACAUCAGAUCGUCUUGA